CAUACACUCGCUAACAGAAACACACACAUUAACAGACACACUCACUAACAGACACACACUCACUAACACACACACUCACAGGCAAACACACUCACACAGUCAGACACACACACACAGUCAGACACACACACACUCACUGACACACUAACAGACAAACAUAGUCAGACACACACACUAACAGACUCACUCACUAGCAGACACACUAACAAACACACACACA